UGUGGGUAGCGGUGAAAUUCCAAUCGAGCCCGGAGAUAGCUGGUUCUCCCCGAAAUAGCUUUAGGGCUAGCCUCAAGGUGAGAGAUACGGAGGUAGAGCACUGAAUGUCCUAGGGGGUAUUGCACCUACCGAAGACUAUCAAACUCCGAAUGCCGUCAUCUUAUACUUGGGAGUCAGACUGUGGGUGAUAAGAUUCAUAGUCGAAAGGGCAACAGCCCAGAUCGUCAGCUAAGGUCCCUAAAUGUAAGUUAAGUGGUAAAGGAUGUGGGAUUGCACAGACAACCAGGAUGUUGGCUUAGAAGCAGCCACUCAUUCAAAGAGUGCGUAAUAGCUCACUGGUCGAGUGAUCCUGCGCCGAAGAUUUCCGGGGCUAAAACUUACUACCGAAGCUACGGCAUCAGUAAUGAUGGGUAGGGGAGCUUCCCAUACGGGUUGAAGCAUGACCGUAAGGACAUGUGGACAGUAUGGGAGUGAGAAUGUUGGCAUGAGUAGCGAGAUGUGGGUGAGAAUCCCACAGGCCGUAAACCCAAGGUUUCCAGGGGAAGGUUCGUCCGCCCUGGGUUAGUCGGGACCUAAGCUGAGGCCGAAAGGCGUAGGUGAUGGACAACAGGUUGAUAUUCCUGUACUACCGAUAACCGUUUGAGAGAAGGGAUGACACAGUAGGAUAAGCUAAGCACACUGUUGGUUAUGUGUGCCCAAGCAUUGAGGCAGUCAAAGUAGGCAAAUCCGCUUUGAUAAUGCUGGGAUGUGAUGGGGAGCGAAAUUUAGUAGCGAAGUAGCUGAUUUCACACUGUCAAGAAAAGUCUCUAUCGAGGUUAAAGGUACCCGUACCGCAAACCGACACAGGUGGGUGAGGAGAGUAUCCUAAGGCCAGCGAGAGAACUGUUGUUAAGGAACUCGGCAAAAUGACCCCGUAACUUAGGGAUAAGGGGUGCCACCAUCAGGUGGCCGCAGAGAAUAGGCCCAAGCGACUGUUUACCAAAAACAUAGGUUUCUGCUAAGUCGCAAGACGAUGUAUAGGAGCUGACGCCUGCCCGGUGCUGGAAGGUUAAGGGGAUCUGUUAGAGCAAUCGAAGCAGUGAACUUAAGCCCCAGUAAACGGCGGCCGUAACUAUAACGGUCCUAAGGUAGCGAAAUUCCUUGUCGGGUAAGUUCCGACCCGCACGAAAGGCGUAACGAUUUGGGCACUGUC
rnacentral:rRNA from 1 species